UACAGAGGUCUCAAGCGUUGUUCGGAUUCAUUGGGCGUAAGGGCGCGUAGGCGGCGGGGUAAGUCGGGUGUGAAAUCUCAGGGCUCAACCCUGAAACUGCACUCGAUACUGCUCUGCUUGAGGACUGGAGAGGAGACUGGAAUUCACGGUGUAGCAGUGAAAUGCGUAGAGAUCGUGAGGAAGACCAGUGGCGAAGGCGGGUCGUCUGGGCCGAGUACUGACGCUGAGGAGCGAAAGCGUGGGGAGCGAACAGG
rnacentral:rRNA from 1 species